CCUCUCCGAGUCACUUACGAAGUCCGGGAAGGACUCCGGGCCCUGCCCCUGGAGGGGAGGGGGCACUCCUGGACCACGCCUGUCCCAGCCAAGGGACGACCCCUCUGCAGCUGAGGACCCUAUGAAGUUGGCACUGGGAGCCUAAUCCUUAGGUCAUUUCCUAGUCUUUUGGGGUUCCUUGAGGGCAACAUCUGCUGAGGAGUCCCCGCAGGACCGCUACAGGGUAAGAGGUGACACUUCGUCCUCUGGCGGCUGGCCGCUGUCAGAGUCCACCGAGGCGCUGGUGAUGAUGAUGGGAACCUUGGCCUUGAGGCUGGCCAGGGACCAGGGCAGGUGCACGGUGACAGCCAGCUCGUAGCG